CACAGAUAUCAUAAUACGUCAAACAGAGCAAGUAUUAAAGGCUAUCCUAUAAACAUUAUAAGUUCAUGCAAUACAUAUAGACAUAAACCUUAUAUUGUCGUAUCCAGUAGAAAUGGAAAACCGCCGUCACGACGAAAUAAAAAAAAAUAAAAAAAAUCCAGACUUUUUGUUUGUUGUGGUCUUAUGCAACUCUCAAUCAUUGAAUAUGAUCGACCAACAUUUUCACUUACGAAGCGAAUCAAGUCACUGAACAAUAAUUCUUGUCACUGGUGUCAAGGUCGACCACGUUUCACUCGAUGCAGACUUUUUUGUACAAAUACUGGUAAGCCGGUUUUUUUUUUUUUUUUUUUUUUUUGAGACUGAUUGUGUUAGGUCAUACCGUGGUACAAAUUAAACUAGGUCUUGGGAGCAAAGUAUAUAAGAUCAGACAACGGGAGAAUUAACAAGUGACACACUCGCCACGCAAGAUGAAACUUAUUUUCCUGUUUAUAACUGUGGUGAUGGCUGCAGUGGCUGUCACGUGCAGUCCCCUUCCUGGCUACGAAAAUUACAAUUACGGCUACGGUCAUCCCCGGUACACUUAUGGCGUCAUUACAGCAUAUGUUCCUACCAUCGAACGAGUGAGCUACAUUCACGGACCGCGUUACUAUGGGCCAUCUAUCCACGACGGCAUUUACGGAGCAUACGGCUACGGAAAAGGCCAUUCAUACUAUAACCAUUAACAGAAUGCUGGGAGAGUGAAGUGUCCAGAAACUGCCCAGCGAUAAAACACAAGCAAGUUUUCAAAACCAUCUUGGCAGUAGCUGGCGCUGAAACAUUUGCUUUCUUUUUACUCAUUAUUUACUAAGUGUUCGUGUGUCUUUACAACUGUUCACUUCCCUUUCUCUCAACUCAAAUAAAAUUUUAUGAUUAGC